UCACCCUCUCUCUCUUUCUCUCUUCAUCUUCUUCCUCUCCUUUCCCCUUAUCCUUCUAUGUGUAGGUGUGUUGAUAGGCAAAAGGCCGUGCCCUCUUUUCUACCUUACCUACUCUAUCUUACUCUCUCUUUUUUUGUUAAGUUCUCUCCACUCCGUAGGCGAGCCCCCAAGGGGUCUCCAUUGUGCCACCUCCACCUCCUCCUCCUCCUCUCUCUCCCCCC
rnacentral:lncRNA from 1 species